rnacentral:rRNA from 1 species
CGAACUGAUUCAGACAGUGAGUUUGAAUAGCUUGUGCAAGCGGUAGUGGCCGAUAACUCCAACACUAAACCAAGACAGGAUGUGUCACUAUCCUGAACCUUAUCUGCAUUACUUCCUUUACCGUUGCUUAAUAAGGCACUCUUCCCCAAUAUUCUGUCAGCAUUCUAAAAGAAGAAACAAGCGGACACAUAACAAGUUUAGCAUGUACUAGUAUAUGAAACUCAUUUCGGUGAAC